rnacentral:rRNA from 1 species
GAUCCCAUCCGCCGUAUGGUGUGAUGGGCAAAGGCUUGCUGCCCUGGGAUCGGGGAACGUGCUACAGGUUGUUGGUGAGGUAACAGGCUCACCAAGCCUAAGACGGCUAGCGGGUGUGAGAGCACGACCCGCCGCAUCGGGACUGAGACACUGCCCGGACUCCUACGGGAGGCUGCAGUAACGAAAAUUCCGCAAUGCGCGAAAGCGUGACGGAGCAAUGCCGCGUGCAGGGUGAAGCCCCUCGGGGUGUAAACUGCUGUCAGGGUUUAGAAACACAAUGAUCAGACCCAAAGGAAGAGCCGGCUAACUCUGUGCCAGCAGCCGCGGUAAUACAGAGGGCUCAAGCGUUAAUCGGUGUCACUGGGCUUAAAGGGUGCGUAGGCGGACCUGUAAGUGUUUUGUGAAAUCCCACGGCUCAACCGUGGAAUUGCUUGGCAUACUGCAGGUCUUGAGGUCGGUAGGGGCUGCCGGAACUCUAGGUGUAGCGGUGAAAUGCGUAGAUAUCUAGAGGAACGCCAAAGGUGAAGACAGGCAGCUGGGCCGAUCCUGACGCUGAGGCACGAAAGCGUGGGUAGCGAACGGGAUUAGAUACCCCGGUAGUCCACGCCCUAAACGAUGUGUACUAGAUCGUGGAGGUUUUGACGCCAUCAUGGU